rnacentral:lncRNA from 1 species
AAAUUACAACGAUAGUUUUCAACUUAGGCUUCGGUUGGGAUUGUGGGAAGAUUGCGUUACGUGCCAUGAGAAAGUACGUUGGAAAAAUAUUCUGUUUGUUUUCGUACGUAAUAUUGCGUUUCGCAUAUCGCGAUGAGUCAGUUACGAUAUAUUUUCUGCGGUCCCACCAGAAAACGCGGAAGCAUAUCCCUAUAUGCUUUUUCCUCAACUCUAUUUUAUCCGGUAGCGUUAGAUAGGCCUCAAUACCAAACUAAGCCUUAAUUACUCUUGAUUUUUCAAUUGGGUACCCAACUAUUUUUCUU